CUUAUGGGCAGCAUAGACCUGAAUUGAGGGAGAACGUUUACGAUUCUACCCCAUUUCAUUUAUAUGUUGCUUUGGAG
rfam:Haemonchus contortus, ISE/inbred ISE, WGS project CAVP01000000 data, contig: Hcontortus_contig_pathogens_Hcontortus_scaffold_11944